GCUGCUGGCUGUGGUCAACUCUUGUCAUUUACAUCUUGCCAUUGAAGCGUGCCCUGUGUUUAGGCGCCAUGUGCAAUGUGUUCUGCCCGUAUGGAAAUAAAAUCUCAGCAGACGGAUGUCCAAUGUGUGCUUGCAAUCCUGGUCCAGUUUAACAACAUUUUUGUUUCUAAAUAAAUCAAAUAGAACAAA
rnacentral:sRNA from 1 species